rnacentral:lncRNA from 1 species
CCUCCUUCCCCCUCUCCCCCUCCCCAGGUCGCUUCCAGCAGGUCCAAGCUCUGGCCGCCACGGCCGACGCGUUCUUCUGCCUCUACUCCUACGUCUCCAAGACCCCCGUGCAGCGCAUCUCCCCCUCGCGCCUCGCCUGGGCCGACCCCGACGUCCCCGAUAUCCGCGUCUCCCCCGCCCAGCCUGCCGUCCUCUCGCCCGGGGACCGCCUGAAGAAGGCCGUGGCCAAAAUGUGCCUGUACACGGUCCCCCGCGCCGGGGACAGCCCGCGGGGGGCCGGCGCCCUGGGCAGGGUGGUGCAGGAGGUGCUGGAGCGGGCCAGGGAGGAGAGGUUUCGCUUCGACCCCCCCGAUGGCGAGGGUGGGGAAAGGGACAUUGGUGGGGUGCCCCUGGGGACUCACGGAGCCCCGGGGUCUCCGCCGGCACCCCUGUGGCCGGAGCGGGGUGUCCCCAAGUGUCACCGGCAGCCGGGGCUGUCCCCAAGGCUGGCCCCAGAGGGGACGGACACUGCCGAGGAGCGUCCCCGUUGCCUGAGCCCUUCGGCAGGGGGUCUGCUGUGGGCUGGGGGUGCUCCGUGCUCCGUGGGGACAGGACAGGGGGGAGCAGAGGACAGGCAGCUGUGGGCGGACGUCGCCUCAUCCCCAGCUCCGUGCGCCGCGGCCACCCAUGGCGGGUGGGUGUGCGCCACCCCCGAGCAGCCGGGAGCUGAGGGGGACUCCGGUUUUGGCUCCAGCCCCUGGGGGACCUCCCCCGGGAGGAAGGAAGGGGCCCAGCCCCCGGGCGAGCCCCUGGACUCCUGCGGGGCAUCGUCCCCUUGGUCCCACCAGCCAAGAGAUGGAGGCCAAAGGGCCCGGCGGAGCAGGGGACGGCACCGGGAGGGUGACCCAAGGGACACCAGAUGGUGGCAGGAGGAUGCACCGGGGCUGCAGCCCCCCGGGAAGGCUCCGGCGGUGGGGGGGCUCUCCCCCCAUCAUCGCAGCUGGGCAGAGACGCGCUGCAGGGAGGCCCCGGACUCCUUCGAGAUGGAAGAGGUGAGGGGCAGCGGGGGGCUGGGGAGGGGGCGAGGGGAGCGGCGCGGGGCUGCCGGGGGGGCGAGGAGCUGGCGAGGAGGCCGUGGAGCAGCAGAGGCGGCGGCGGUUUGGGGGCUGAAGGAUUUAGAGCCUCUCGCACGAUGGAGCAUCCUUGCACACCCCCAGCCAUGCUCACGCUCGUGCACGGAAGUGUGUCGGUGCACACUCAGAAGUGCAUGCCCCGGGUGCACGUGCACGGAUGCACCUUGGCGUGGGUGCGCGUGCAUGCACAGGUGCACCUUUGCACAAGCACACGCGUGUGCUCACAUGCACGCACGCCCUUGCACACGCGCUCCAGCCCCCCCCCCCCCCCCCCCCUUUGCGCAACCUCUCCCCGAGCCCCGGCCUCUCCGUGCAGGUGCCGAGCGCCGGCGAGGACGACGGCGAUGCCCACGAGGAAGCCGGCUGCUUCUUCCCUCCCUCCCUGCGGGUCCGGAGAAGCUUGAUGCUGCAGGGGUGCAGCGGCCACUCCGACAGCAGCGGCUUCGUGGAGGAGCCGCUGCCCGAGCAGACGCCGUGAGACCCCCGAGGGACCCCCCCCCUGCUCACCCCCACCGUGGUGCCAGCGCCGGCCGGGAGCCGCCGACGGAUGCACGAGGGAUUUUGCACCCCCGGGUUUUGGAUCCCGGAGCCCGUCCUCAGCCGAGGGCUGAGCACCGCGUGGACACGUCUGGGUGUGAGCGUGCGUGCACGUGUGUGUGUGUGUGUGUGUGUGUGCACCCCGUGGUUGUGCUGCACCAGGAACCUCUCGACUCAGGACUUUCACCCCCCAACAGCACCAGCAUCCCCCCGAACCUUGCCCUGUUUUCACUGGGGCUUCACUAGCACUUUGGAAACGCUCUGCUCCCCGGGCGCGUGUAACACUAGGACGGGGGUUUGCCGGGGCAGAGCCCACAGCACACUGGAAAUAAAGUUCCCCAAGGGAUCGGGCUGUGGCCUUGC